ensembl:lncRNA
GGGGAAUGGAGGACAGUACUACUCCAGUGAUAUGAUAGAGGAGAUGGUGGAAUGGAGGACAGUACUAAACCAGUGAUAUGAUAGAGGUGAUGGUGGAAUGGAGGACAGUAUUAUACCAGUGAUAUGAUAGAAGAGAUGGUGGAAUGGAGGACAGUACUAUACCAGUGAUAUGAUAGAGGUGAUGGUGGAAUGGAGGACAGUACUAUACCAGUGAUAUGAUAGAGGUGAUGGUGGAAUGGAGGACAGUACUACUCCAGUGAUAUGAUAGAGGAGAUGGUGGAGGAGAAUGGAGGACAGUACUAAACCAGUGAUAUGAUAGAGGAGAUGGGAGAAUGGAGGUCAGUACUACAACGUUGAGAUGAAUCAGGAAGCUCUGAGAGCCCAAGAACAGACAGACAGUUGGAGAAAGAUUGCAAAGUUAGGGAAAGCCGUGCAAAGGCAGGAACUUGUUUUAUAAUCGCUGGAACAGCAGAG